rnacentral:rRNA from 1 species
AGUGAACGCUGGCGGUAUGCCUAACACAUGCAAGUCGAACGGCAGCACAGUAAUAGCUUGCUCUUACGGGUGGCGAGUGGCGGACGGGUGAGGAAUACAUCGGAAUCUACUUUUUCGUGGGGGAUAACGUAGGUAAACUUACGCUAAUACCUCAUACUACCUACGGGUGAAAGCAGGGGAUCUUCGGACCUUGCGCGAUUUAAUGAGCCGAUGUCGGAUUAGCUAGUUGGCGGGGUAAAGGCCCCCCAAGGGGACGCUCCGUAGCUGGUCUGAGAGGAUGAUAAGCCAGACUGGAGAGGAGACACGGCCACGAGGACUCCGGGAGGCAGCAGUGGGGCAUAUUGGACAAUGGGGGCAAGAAUAAUCGAGCAAUACCGCGUGGGUGAAGCAGGCAUUCGGUUUGUAAAGACAUUUUGUUGGGAAAGAAAAGCAGCAGCUUAAUACAAGGAUGUUGUGACGGUACCUAAAGAAUAAGCAACGGCUAACUUCGUG